GGAAUCUUCCACAAUGGACGCAAGCCUGAUGGAGCAACACCGCGUGAGUGAAGAAGGGUUUCGGCUCGUAAAGCUCUGUUGUUAAAGAAGAACACGUAUGAGAGUAACUGUUCAUACGUUGACGGUAUUUAACCAGAAAGUCACGGCUAACUACGUGCCUG
rnacentral:rRNA from 1 species